AGAUGGUACAAUUCCUUUAUGAAGCCACUGAUGACAAGUCAUUAUAUGACAAUGACCGCAUUGAAUUGCUUAUCACUCUAAUAAGAACGGUUUGUAUGAUGUUGCACAGGAUUUGCUAGAGAAACACCCAGAGUUAGCCGUCACUUGUGAUGGAAAUGAGGAGACAGCAUUGCUUGCCUUGGCUCGAACGCCUAUUGCCUCUCAAAUUCAGCAAGGAUUUUGGAAACAAUGUGUCAAUUUGUUUUCAGGUAGCAACACCAAGUUGCCUCCAAAAGCACUUGAACUAAUCCAACGCCUUUGGGAACAAGUCAUACUGUCAGAUGAGACUGCAAUUUCAAAUAUUAUUAAAACUGCCCGACACUG